GAAAUGCGAUAAGUAAUGUGAAUUGCAGAAUUCAGUGAAUCAUCGAAUCUUUGAACGCACCUUGCGCUCCUUGGUAUUCCUUGGAGCAUGCCUGUUUGAGUAUCGUGAAAUCUUCAAAGUAAAUCUUUUGUUAACUCAAUUGGUUUCUACUUUGGUAUUGGAGGUCUUUGCAGCUUCACACCUGCUCCUCUUUGUUGAUUAGCUGGAUCUCAGUGUUAUGCUUGGUUCCACUCGGCGUGAUAAGUUAUCUAUCGCUGAGGACACUGUAAAAGGUGGCCAAGGUAAAUGCAGAUGAACCGCUUCUAAUAGUCCAUUGACUUGGACAAUACUUUUAUGAUCUGAUCUCAAAUCAGGUAGGACUACCCGCUGAACUUAAGC
rnacentral:misc_RNA from 1 species